UACGAAGGGGGCUAGCGUUGCUCGGAAUCACUGGGCGUAAAGGGUGCGUAGGCGGGGUUUUAAGUCAGGGGUGAAAUCCUGGAGCUCAACUCCAGAACUGCCUUUGAUACUGAAGAUCUCGAGUCCGGGAGAGGUGAGUGGAACUGCGAGUGUAGAGGUGAAAUUCGUAGAUAUUCGCAAGAACACCAGUGGCGAAGGCGGCUCACUGGCCCGGUACUGACGCUGAGGUGCGAAAGCGUGGGGAGCAAACAGG
rnacentral:rRNA from 1 species